UAUGUAGGCGGGUAAUUAAGUCAGAGGUGAAAUCCCACAGCUUAACUGUGGAACUGCCUUAGAUACUGGUUAUCUUGAGUUUUAGUGAAGUAGAUAGAAUGUGUAGUGUAGCGGUGAAAUGCAUAGAUAUUACACAGAAUACCGAUUGCGAAGGCAGUCUACUAACUAACAACUGACGCUAAUGGACGAAAGCGUGGGGAGCGAACAGGAUUAGAUACCCUGGUAGUCC
rnacentral:rRNA from 1 species